rnacentral:snoRNA from 1 species
UCAAAUGAUGAUCGAACUUUUUAUAAAGUUGGAAUUACCGUCUGAACUACAUGUAGAUACAAAUUGGCUGUUUUUCUGAUU